rnacentral:rRNA from 1 species
ACCCGAAGUCAGUGAGCUAACACGUAAGUGAGGCAGCUGCCGAAGGUGGGGUCGAUGAUUGGGGUGAAGUCGUAACAAGGUAGCCGUAGGUGAACCUGCAGAAGGAUCA